ACUAUUUGAUUUUAUUUUCUUUAUAUUUUUUUUCAAAUAAAAAUUAAGAACAACCAAACCCUAGAAGAUACAAAACACAAAUCGGUGAUCCCAGAGUUAAACAAACAUCAAUUCAUCUUAAUAACAACUCAUCGAUACAAAUUCAUAUCCGAAUUUGAAGAAAAAGGUUUUGUGUGAUCCAUUCCAUUCACAAGAAUUGUAAUUAAAAACACAAUGAGGUUCAAAAAAGGUAGCAAAAUGGAGGUUAUGAAUUACUAUGAUUAUGAAGGUGGUGUGGAAAAGGUAUCUAGGAGGUUUGUAAGAAAGAAGAUUGGUUCAAAGAUCUGUGAGGAAGAAGAAGAAGAUGCAUCUAGGAAACAAAAGAGAGCUUCCCCUUUUUGCUCAUCUGUUCAUGAAUCAAGUCAAAAAGUCAAGAAAGUCAAACCUGGGAGUCAAAGAAGAUAUGUUUCAUGCGAUUCUUAUAAAAAGAGUUACAAAAUUGGAGGCAUGCAUCUUUUGCUUCCAAAGAUCCAAACAAGAUUCUGAUUCUGCUGGAAAACAGUUUUGCGGGAUCCAUUUGCAUUUGCUACUUCAGAUAAGAUAUAGUUUUUGUAUCUUAGUGUUCUUGUUAAAAACAAGAAUGUCUUCAGAUUGCUCUUUGAUUAUCCAAAAUCUUUCCUUUUUGGUCCUCUUGUUACCAUUUUUAUUGGUGUUUCUUUCCCUUUAAAGAAGUCAACAUUUCCUGUUUAUUAACUAUCAACAAUUCCAUGUUAUAUGCAUGUAUAUUAACUCCAAUGCAGGUUUAUUGUGAGAAGAAUCCUCAAAAGGAACUGUAAGUAUUAAAGAUUCUUUUUUUUUCAUAGAUCUUUGUUUUUUUUGAAAGAGAAUGAUUGUUUAAUAGUUGCUGAGUGAGUCAGAUCUGAUUGAGUCAAAGAUCUGACUGAGUCACAGACACAACCGUGAAUUUGAAUCUGACGAUCAAAGGAGCCAGGACCGAGGCUUCUAAGUGUGGUAUCAAACAGUCUGAAUCUGACCCAGUCUCGGUCUCAGUAAGAGGAAUAGAAACUUUAUGUGACACAUUUAUGUGUUGAUCAUAAUGGAUUUGAUGUUAUCUUUAUUGCUUUUGAGGAUCUUUUUUAUCCUUUUAUGGCAGGGAGGUGAUAGGUUAUUAAUGGUAACUAUUGAUUACCAAAUGUUGAUGAUGAAUAGGGAUGUUGUGUGUUUCGAGAUGAUGAUGGAACAGACAUGUAUUUCAAGGUAGUUUGAAUGAUGGAACAACAUUUGUUUAUGGGAUGAUUGUGGGAAAAAGGAACACUUUCUGUUGUAGGAUGACAAGUGUGUUCUAAGUUGGGGAGGAUACAUAUGUAUACAAGCCAUUAAUUAUAUAAAAGAAUAUUGCAUAAUGUUUAAAUGGUUCA